CUGCCGCUCCAUCCAUCUUGCCCCCUUUCGAUAUGCUCAAGGUCAUGGGUUAGGGUUUGGCUCCGGGAAGCUCUCCGCUGCAGAGGAAUUGCGAUUCCGGCGGUUUCUCAGCUAUCUCAGGGGCUUUGACGAGGAUGUGGAGCGGCGGAGGGUAGUUGCAGUCGGCUCUUUGGGUCUAGGGUUGAGAUCGGUUUUCAAUCUCAGAUCUCGACCGAAGCUCUCUGUUCGUCAGGAGGAGGGAAGGCUGUUCUCUUUCUGGUCCUCGACGGUUCGCUGUCUCUGGAUCUGAGGAUCGGUCGGCUCGGGUUGGUGGUUCUCGGCUCUCGUCGGCGUCGUCAAG
rnacentral:lncRNA from 1 species